GAUACAAAUAAAAAUAUCAUCCAUAUAAUCUCAAUAAUAAGGUUUGAGAGUUUCUACAAGAGAACCAUAAAUUCUCUAUCUAUGGAUGAAUCUUAGCUAUGC
rfam:Clostridium sp. IEH 97212 scaffold_7, whole genome shotgun sequence.